rnacentral:rRNA from 1 species
UACGUAGGGGGCAAGCGUUGUCCGGAAUCAUUGGGCGUAAAGGGUGCGUAGGCGGUCUUGUAAGUCUGGGGUGAAAGUCCAGGGCUCAACCCUGGGAUUGCCUUGGAAACUGUGGGACUUGAGUGCUGGAGAGGCAAGGGGAAUUCCACGUGUAGCGGUGAAAUGCGUAGAUAUGUGGAGGAAUACCAGUGGCGAAGGCGCCUUGCUGGACAGUGACUGACGCUGAGGCACGAAAGCGUGGGGAGCAAACAGG